rnacentral:rRNA from 1 species
CUUAACACAUGCAAGUCGAGGGGCAGCAUGAAGUCAGCUUGCUGACUUUGAUGGCGACCGGCGCACGGGUGAGUAACGCGUAUCCAACCCUCCCCUUACUCAGGAAUAGCCCGUUGAAAGACGGAUUAAUGCCUGAUGUUCUCAUGUUGCCGCAUGGCGAUAUGAGCAAAGAUUCAUCGGUAAGGGAUGGGGAUGCGUAUGAUUAGCUAGAUGGCGGGGUAACGGCCCACCAUGGCGACGAUGUCUAGGGGUUCUGAGAGGAAGGUCCCCCACACUGGAACUGAGACACGGUCCAGACUCCUACGGGAGGCAGCAGUGAGGAAUAUUGGUCAAUGGUCUGACGACUGAACCAGCCAUGCCGCGUGAAGGUCACGGCCCUAUGGGUCUUAAACUUCUUUUGUAAGGGAGCAAUAAGUUCUACGUGUAGGACGAUGAGAGUACCUUACGAAUAAGCAUCGGCUAACUCCGUG